rnacentral:misc_RNA from 1 species
AGAUAUUAUUCCAGCUGAUGCUCGUUUACUAGAAGGUGAUCCACUGAAAAUUGACCAGUCUGCACUUACUGGUGAGUCUCUUCCUGUGACAAAAGGGCCUGGAGAUGGUAUUUACUCUGGUUCUACUUGCAAGCAAGGAGAGAUUGAAGCAGUGGUUAUUGCUACUGGUGUCCAUACCUUCUUUGGGAAGGCUGCUCACCUUGUGGAUACCACAAACCAAGUUGGCCACUUCCAAAAGGUCUUGACUGCAAUAGGGAAUUUUUGCAUAUGUUCAAUUGCUGUGGGGAUGGUUAUAGAGAUCAUUGUCAUGUACCCCAUUCAAGAUCGAAAGUAUCGUCCUGGAAUUGACAAUCUUCUUGUGCUUCUCAUUGGAGGAAUUCCAAUUGCGAUGCCAACUGUCCUGUCGGUGACAAUGGCUAUUGGUUCUCAUAGGUUAUCUCAGCAGGGUGCCAUCACAAAGAGAAUGACUGCAAUUGAAGAGAUGGCAGGCAUGGAUGUGCUUUGCAGUGACAAGACUGGAACUCUGACAUUAAACAAACUCACUGUUGACAAAAACCUUAUUGAGGUUUUUGCCAAAGGAGUAGAUGCGGAUACUGUUGUUUUGAUGGCAGCUCGAGCCUCUAGAACAGAGAAUCAAGAUGCAAUUGAUUCUGCUAUUGUUGGAAUGCUGGCUGAUCCAAGAGAGGCUCGUGCUGGAAUUCAAGAAGUUCAUUUCCU